CCGGGAAGAAAUCGUGGUCUCUAACAUAGGCCAUGGAUGACGGUACCGGACUAAGAAGCACCGGCUAACUACGUGCCAGCAGCCGCGGUAAUACGUAGGGUGCGAGCGUUAAUCGGAAUUACUGGGCGUAAAGCGUGCGCAGGCGGUUUUGUAAGACAGAUGUGAAAUCCCCGGGCUUAACCUGGGAACUGCGUUUGUGACUGCAAGGCUAGAGUACGGCAGAGGGGGGUGGAAUUCCUGGUGUAGCAGUGAAAUGCGUAGAGAUCAGGAGGAACACCGAUGGCGAAGGCAGCCCCCUGGGCCUGUACUGACGCUCAUGCACGAAAGCGUGGGGAGCAAACAGGAUUAGAUACCCUGGUAGUCCACGCCCUAAACGAUGUCGACUAGUCGUUCGGAGCAGCAAUGCACUGAGUGACGCAGCUAACGCGUGAAGUCGACCGCCUGGGGAGUACGGCC
rnacentral:rRNA from 1 species